CCUCCUUUCUUGGCAUGCUGUUGCCGUGUGUGUGUGUGUGUGUGUGUGUGUGUGUGUGAUGGAGAGAAACCAAGGACAGUGCUAUGUAUUCGGUGCCAGAAUGUUCCCGACUUCUGGUUCUAUGCUCAAUCGCUGGUACAUUC
rnacentral:snoRNA from 1 species